rnacentral:ncRNA from 1 species
AUAAAGUUUAAUUUUAAUUUAAAAAUUAAUUUAAUUUUUUUUUUAUAUGUAUAUUUUUGUUUUUUUAAAAAAUUUAAUUUAAAAAGUUAGGUUUAAAAAUUUUAUUUGCAGUAUUUAAUAUUAAUAAUAUAAGAAAUUAUGAAUUAGAAAUAAAUUUUUAUAUAAACAAAUUUUGUGCCAGCAGUUGCGGUUAUACAAAAUAUAUAAAUUAAUUUUUUUAGUAAGUAAUUAAAUGUAUUUAUAUUAAAAUUAAAUUGAUAAAUAUUAAGUGAAAUUUUAUUUAUUAAUUAGGUUUUUAAUUAAAUUUUUAUAAUUAUGAAAUUUUUAUUUAAACUAGGAUUAGAUACCCUAUUAUUUUAAAUGUAAAAUAAAUUUACUAAGGUAGUAUUAGUUAUAAUCUUUAAAUUUAAAAAAUUUGGCGGUAUUUUAGUCUAUUUAGAGGAACCUGUUCUAUAAUUGAUAAUCCACGAUAAAUUCUACUUAUUUUAAAAGUUUGUAUACCAUCGUUAUAAGAAAAUUUUUUUAGGAUAUAAAUUUUUAAUAGAUUUAAUUAAAUUUUAUUUCAGAUCAAGGUGCAGUUUAUAGUUAAGAAGAAAUGGGUUACAAUAAAUUUAUUUAUAUGGAUAAAAAUUUGAAAUAAUUUUUUUAAAGUGGAUUUAAUAGUAAUAAAAUUUUAUUAAAUUUUGUGAUUUUAGCUCUAAAAUAUGUACAUAUCGCCCGUCACUCUUAUUAUAAAAUAAGAUAAGUCGUAACAUAGUAGAUGUACUGGAAAGUGUAUCUAGAAUGAU